rnacentral:rRNA from 1 species
CGGGACACGUGGUAUCCUGUCUGAAUAUGGGGGGACCAUCCUCCAAGGCUAAAUACUCCUGACUGACCGAUAGUGAACCAGUACCGUGAGGGAAAGGCGAAAAGAACCCCGGCGAGGGGAGUGAAAAAGAACCUGAAACCGUGUACGUACAAGCAGUGGGAGCACGCUUAGGCGUGUGACUGCGUACCUUUUGUAUAAUGGGUCAGCGACUUAUAUUCUGUAGCAAGGUUAACCGAAUAGGGGAGCCGAAGGGAAACCGAGUCUUAACUGGGCGUUAAGUUGCAGGGUAUAGACCCGAAACCCGGUGAUCUAGCCAUGGGCAGGUUGAAGGUUGGGUAACACUAACUGGAGGACCGAACCGACUAAUGUUGAAAAAUUAGCGGAUGACUUGUGGCUGGGGGUGAAAGGCCAAUCAAACCGGGAGAUAGCUGGUUCUCCCCGAAAGCUAUUUAGGUAGCGCCUCGUGAAUUCAUCUCCGGGGGUAGAGCACUGUUUCGGCAAGGGGGUCAUCCCGACUUACCAACCCGAUGCAAACUGCGAAUACCGGAGAAUGUUAUCACGGGAGACACACGGCGGGUGCUAACGUCCGUCGUGAAGAGGGAAACAACCCAGACCGCCAGCUAAGGUCCCAAAGUCAUGGUUAAGUGGGAAACGAUGUGGGAAGGCCCAGACAGCCAGGAUGUUGGCUUAGAAGCAGCCAUCAUUUAAAGAAAGCGUAAUAGCUCACUGGUCGAGUCGGCCUGCGCGGAAGAUGUAACGGGGCUAAACCAUGCACCGAAGCUGCGGCAGCGACGCUGAUGCGUUGUUGGGUAGGGGAGCGUUCUGUAAGCCUGUGAAGGUGUGCUGUGAGGCAUGCUGGAGGUAUCAGAAGUGCGAAUGCUGACAUAAGUAACGAUAAAGCGGGUGAAAAGCCCGCUCGCCGGAAGACCAAGGGUUCCUGUCCAACGUUAAUCGGGGCAGGGUGAGUCGACCCCUAAGGCGAGGCCGAAAGGCGUAGUCGAUGGGAAACAGGUUAAUAUUCCUGUACUUGGUGUUACUGCGAAGGGGGGACGGAGAAGGCUAUGUUGGCCGGGCGACGGUUGUCCCGGUUUAAGCGUGUAGGCUGGUUUUCCAGGCAAAUCCGGAAAAUCAAGGCUGAGGCGUGAUGACGAGGCACUACGGUGCUGAAGCAACAAAUGCCCUGCUUCCAGGAAAAGCCUCUAAGCAUCAGGUAACAUCAAAUCGUACCCCAAACCGACACAGGUGGUCAGGUAGAGAAUACCAAGGCGCUUGAGAGAACUCGGGUGAAGGAACUAGGCAAAAUGGUGCCGUAACUUCGGGAGAAGGCACGCUGAUAUGUAGGUGAAGCGACUUGCUCGUGGAGCUGAAAUCAGUCGAAGAUACCAGCUGGCUGCAACUGUUUAUUAAAAACACAGCACUGUGCAAACACGAAAGUGGACGUAUACGGUGUGACGCCUGCCCGGUGCCGGAAGGUUAAUUGAUGGGGUCAGCGCAAGCGAAGCUCUUGAUCGAAGCCCCGGUAAACGGCGGCCGUAACUAUAACGGUCCUAAGGUAGCGAAAUUCCUUGUCGGGUAAGUUCCGACCUGCACGAAUGGCGUAAUGAUGGCCAGGCUGUCUCCACCCGAGACUCAGUGAAAUUGAACUCGCUGUGAAGAUGCAGUGUACCCGCGGCAAGACGGAAAGACCCCGUGAACCUUUACUAUAGCUUGACACUGAACAUUGAGCCUUGAUGUGUAGGAUAGGUGGGAGGCUUUGAAGUGUGGACGCCAGUCUGCAUGGAGCCGGCCUUGAAAUACCACCCUUUAAUGUUUGAUGUUCUAACGUUGACCCGUGAUCCGGGUUGCGGACAGUGUCUGGUGGGUAGUUUGACUGGGGCGGUCUCCUCCUAAAGAGUAACGGAGGAGCACGAAGGUUGGCUAAUCCUGGUCGGACAUCAGGAGGUUAGUGCAAUGGCAUAAGCCAGCUUGACUGCGAGCGUGACGGCGCGAGCAGGUGCGAAAGCAGGUCAUAGUGAUCCGGUGGUUCUGAAUGGAAGGGCCAUCGCUCAACGGAUAAAAGGUACUCCGGGGAUAACAGGCUGAUACCGCCCAAGAGUUCAUAUCGACGGCGGUGUUUGGCACCUCGAUGUCGGCUCAUCACAUCCUGGGGCUGAAGUAGGUCCCAAGGGUAUGGCUGUUCGCCAUUUAAAGUGGUACGCGAGCUGGGUUUAGAACGUCGUGAGACAGUUCGGUCCCUAUCUGCCGUGGGCGCUGGAGAACUGAGGGGGGCUGCUCCUAGUACGAGAGGACCGGAGUGGACGCAUCACUGGUGUUCGGGUUGUCAUGCCAAUGGCACUGCCCGGUAGCUAAAUGCGGAAGAGAUAAGUGCUGAAAGCAUCUAAGCACGAAACUUGCCCCGAGAUGAGUUCUCCCUGACUCCUUGAGAGUCCUGAAGGAACGUUGAAGACGACGACGUUGAUAGGCCGGGUGUGUAAGCGCAGCGAUGCGUUGAGCUAACCGGUACUAAUGAACCGUGAG